rfam:Gloeocapsa sp. PCC 73106 scaffold_00148, whole genome shotgun sequence.
GCGGAUGUGGUGGAACGGUAGACACGCACGCUUGAGGGGCGUGUGACUCAGGUCAUGCGAGUUCAAAUCUCGCCAUCCGCA